rnacentral:rRNA from 1 species
UACAGGGGGUGCGAGCGUUAAUCGGAAUUACUGGGCGUAAAGCGCGCGUAGGCGGCUUUGCAAGCCGGAUGUGAAAUCCCCGGGCUUAACCUGGGAACUGCAUUCGGGACUGCAUUGCUAGAGUAUGGGAGAGGGAAGUGGAAUUUCAGGUGUAGCGGUGAAAUGCGUAGAUAUCUGAAGGAACAUCAGUGGCGAAAGCGACUUCCUGGACCAAUACUGACGCUCAUGCGCGAAAGCGUGGGGAGCAAACAGG